AUGACGAACAACAAGAACGAUGACAUCCUCGGAAAUUUCCUGACCAAUACGUUCUUGACUGACUUGUUCUCGCUGGAACUGUCGCUGAAGGUGAUGACUAUCGUCGAACCUCCAGAUCAGUCCGGAGCUGGGAUCGCGUCAGGUCUGUACUAUAGUGCCAAGGAAAACUUCGAUUGUUGUUCUUCCGUAGAAUCACCUGAGGGCCCAGAUGACAUCUUGAAGAUAUUGGCAGAUAUACUUGAGAAUAUGCAGCCCAAGGGGGAUACUAUUGCACCACUGGAUCAAAUCGUGCAAGCCCAGAAAAAAGUUCAGCAAGCCCUAAAGAAAAAGAGGUACAUUGUCCUAAUCACAGGCUUAGGAGAGGCAGCCACAUGGGAUAAUAUUGAGAAGGCCUUCCCGGAUGGAGGCAAUGGCCGAGUGAUUAUUACCACUUAUCGAUGGGACGUGGCCCUAAAGUGCUCCUCUGGUCAAUCUGACUUGAUCUAUAGGUCGGGGUCUUGGUCUUGUACCAAGGCACCAGAUGUGGUGGUUGAUGAUAAGGCACAGAUGGAAAUUACAGCGUAUGUGGAGGAGCUGCUCCGGAGCUCCGACGACAACCUGACGGCUUGUGUGUUUUCCCUCUCAACAGUACAAGAUGCUAAUGAGUUUGUGUUUGAGAGGGAGAGCAUGGUUAGGAAAUGGAAUGCUGAAGGGUUUACCUCUGCGGAUGAGCACUUGUUUGAUGAGCUCUUUAACAAGCGCUGGAUUAUUCAGCAAGGAAGCAGCAGACACGGGCCAACAUACAAGCUGGACACUAAGUUCCUGUCCGGCCUCAGGAAGGAGCAAAGAACAUUGAUGACGGGAAAAUCCUUUGAGCUUCGUCCUGGCUGGAACAGUGGCUCCAGCUCCCUCAGCGGAAUUGCCCUCGUAGAUAUCUUGGUGUGCCAACUAAAUGAUAAGGAUCUUGAUAAGCUUGGCCAAAUGAAGUACCUCCGGAACCUUGUGCUAGAGAUUGCCGGCAUCCCAACGAAAGUGAUGGUCAUCACCAAAGGUAGCUUCCCGCAGCUCCAGGUAUUUGAGCUCAACUGCCAUGUGCCGUGGGUCACCUUCGAAGAUGGAGCUAUGCCGGAGCUGAGGUGCCUCCGCUUCAAGCUAUACGCCGGCCCAAAAGGUAAGACCCCUUCGGGGACCAAUCACCUCAAGAAACUGGACGAGCUUAGCCUCAACUACGGCACAGCAUACAAUGGAAGCCCCUGCGUCUUGGAGACAACUAGCACCAUGGAGGAAGAAGCUGAAAAGCGUGCCAAGCCGACGACCCUCAUCACCAACAACACGGCAAAAUUACCAAAGCUCCGUGUGACGAAUUAUGACAACAUGAAGGAACUGGUACUGUGGGCACUUAAAAUCACGCUUUUUUUGUUCCACUGCGUCCUUUUUUUGUUCCACUGCGUCCUCACCCCGCUUUUCCCAUUGGCCCACCACUUCCGGGGAGCGCUAGCAAAGAUGACAACGGGGAAACUCCUUUUCGUGAUCCCACUUCUUGCCCUCAUAUGUUACCAUAACAUCAUUCUGACGGCAUGUAGCUGGCUGGCCAGGAGGGUCUUGCCCAUCCUUAUGCUUUUUGCCAUCAAUCGUAAACUAGCGGGCGAUAAAUCACCAUGGGCAAACAUCAUCGUCCCAGUCCUCGCCUACAAAAUGGUAGGCCUCGUCGUCGCCAUUUACCCUUCCUUGUCCAAAGCAAUCCUUGUAUCCUACACCACACUGGUUUGGUCGGUGUGUGCACUCCUGCGCAUUCUCUUGCUCUACAUUCUGACCCCACUUUGGUACACAAUCUCCACCCUUUUAAUUUAUGCUAUCCCAGUUAUCUGUGCUCUCGUCUUGUCCAUUUAUCUGGUUUGCAAGACCAAAAAGGUGCCCCUUGGCAUCCUCCCCGUUCUUGCCCUCCCGUUUUACUUCUUCCCAUCUCAAUCUUACUCUGCCGUAUUGUGGUCAUCAUAUGGGGUCACUGAGUGGCUCAUAUGGGGUAUAUAG
rnacentral:rRNA from 1 species